GACGAACGCGGCGGCGUGCCUAAUACUGCAAGUCGAGCGAAGUUUUUCUGGUGCUUGCACUAGAAAAACUAGCGGCGAACGGGUGAGUAACACGUAAAGAACCUGCCUCAUAGACUGGGACAACUAUUGGAAACGAUAGCUAAUACCGGAUAACAGUAUUUCUCGCAUGAGAGAUAUUUAAAAGUUGGUUAUGCUAACACUAUGAGAUGGCUCUGCGGUGCAUAGCUAGUUGGUGGGGUAAAGGCCCACCAAGGCGACGAUGCAUAGCCGACCUGAGAGGGUGAUCGGCCACACUGGGACUGAGACACGGCCCAGACUCCUACGGGAGGCAGCAGUAGGGAAUCUUCCGCAAUGGGCGAAAGCCUGACGGAGCAACGCCGCGUGAGUGAAGAAGGAUUUCGGUUCGUAAAGCUCUGUUGUUAGGGAAGAAUGGAUAUGUAGUAACUAUACAUAUAAGAGACGGUACCUAACCAGAAAGCCACGGCUAACUACGUGCCAGCAGCCGCGGUAAUACGUAGGUGGCAAGCGUUGUCCGGAAUUAUUGGGCGUAAAGCGCGCGCAGGUGGUUUAAUAAGUCUGAUGUGAAAGCCCACGGCUCAACCGUGGAGGGUCAUUGGAAACUGUUAAACUUGAGUGCAGGAGAGAAAAGUGGAAUUCCUAGUGUAGCGGUGAAAUGCGUAGAGAUUAGGAGGAACACCAGUGGCGAAGGCGGCUUUUUGGCCUGUAACUGACACUGAGGCGCGAAAGCGUGGGGAGCAAACAGG
rnacentral:rRNA from 1 species